GACUAAGGAAGGCCUGGAGCUGCCAGAAG
rnacentral:piRNA from 1 species